GCCAACAUUGUAUGUACUUCAGAAAUAGGUUAAAAUUUUAGUUUGACUUUCAAUUUUGGGGUUUUCAACGUAUUUGAUACUUAGAUCAGCUGUUACUAGUACUUUUGUAAUUCUUCGAGCUUAAGAAUUCUAUACAAGCGCAAUAAUUGUUCUGAAACUCAAUUUGGUACUUGUGGAUCUUGCUUUAUAGGAGAGGAAGUUCACAUUAUAGGGCUAGAUAAUGUUAGUUUUUACACACACUGGCUUCUUCGUACGAGAAAUUAUACUGGUAAGAAGUGUCUCCUACAGUGAACUAUGGGCAGUAGCUAUAGUGUUAAAGGUGUGUGUAAAGUUAGUAUAGGUCCUUGUUUCUGACUCUGACAAGGAUAAAUUGAAGCGGGGGAGCCGGAAAGCCGCCUUGGUCACGCUAUGUACAUUUUUUAUGAUAUUCUCUUUUGAAUUAUGCCUGAAACCAUCAUCUUUGUUUUUGAGGAAGCUCUGCAUGGAAAGAAAUGCUUUUUGAUGCUUUAUUAGGCUUGGUGAUCCUUGCCAUCUGUUUAAGUUUUCAUCAUCAAACUUUUUUAUCUCAUUCAAACUUGGUCCUUUUUUUUCUGUGCUUUUGAGUUAGGGGGAUACUAGCUAUUCACUUAAUUUGUCAUUAUUUUCUUUUUUCUGUUGUGAUUGAAAACAGGACUAUGUGCCAACCGUUUUUGACAAUUUCAGUGCAAAUGUGGUUGUGGAUGGGAGCACGGUCAAUUUAGGUUUAUGGGAUACAGCUGGUCAGGAGGAUUACAAUAGAUUAAGACCUUUGAGCUAUCGAGGGGCAGAUGUCUUUAUUCUUGCAUUCUCUUUAAUCAGCAAGGCCAGCUAUGAAAAUGUUGCCAAAAAGUGGAUUCCUGAAUUGAGGCAUUAUGCACCUGGAGUACCAAUUAUUCUUGUUGGGACUAAGCUUGGUAGAUACUCCUAUUCUGAUUUUUCUUUUGUUCUUUGUAAUGAUGAUUUCAGUUAUUAGUUUCAUAUAUCUUGAGACUCUUUGCUAGGACUUCAAUUUUCUUGACCAUAAGAUGCAUAGUAGUUGAGAACUUUUCCUUAGCCCAUUAACUAUUGAUAUUUAUCUUCAUUUCUCAGAAAUUGCAUUUAUUAUAGGUUUUCUGCUUUAUUACUUCUUUUGGAGUUUGGGUUAUAUUUCACUACGUAGGUAUUGACAGAAUCUAAUUCUUGGUUGUCAUUGAUUUCUAGCUAUUUUAGGAAGUUUCCAAAAAUAUUUUGUUACAAAAUUGCAAGUAUUUUGGUGCUUUUUUGACUCUUGAUUUUCUCCCUACUCUUUUGAUGUGUUUGAAUGCAGUUUUGUCUCAAUAGAAUCAUAAUGAUGGAGCAGUUUUUCAAUAUUUCCAUGUGGGCAAUAGUUUCAACUUUAAUUCUUAUAAUAGUUGCAUAUUUUCCCCAAAGAACAGAAAUCUGAUGCUGUGGAAGUCUUAUGCUAUUAAUUAUCUCAUAAUUUAAUUUAGUCAUAAGACAUAGGGUGCCCACAUCUGUGACUGUGAUGCACUAUGACUUCAUCUUUCUGAUCAAUCAGCCUGUGAGAAGACAAAUUUUGUUACGAGUUUCCAUUUUCCUGACCAAGAACAAUUGCUGAUCCUAAUUAUGGAACCUUGUUGUUCUGCAUAUGAGAAACUUAUGAAAUGAUGCUUAAUAUUUUCAGUUGAGAUGUUGAAGAUCUUAGCAUUCCAUCUCCCUACGUAAUUGAUAAAUGAAUUAGAGUUCAAUGAAAUUCAACAUUAUUUGUUAAGAUCAUCUUUUAUCAAAUUCUUCUUGCUCACUCGUGGACAAGAAGGAGAGGAGGGGGCGCUUAAUUAAAUGUUUCUUUAGAAGGAACUCUUGUUUACAUUUGAGCACAUGCAUGUGAAGUGCAUUUAUUUUUUAAGGAAAAGUGUAUAGUAUAUUAAAAGAUGACCUAAUUUACUGGGACUGUGGUAGUAGAGUAUCGAAUAUAGGUACAACUGGGGAUCAGACUUCUCCAAAAUUUGUGUAAUUUUCUGACUGAGUUGAAAAGUUUCAAUAAUUCAUUGUCGUACUUGUGCUCGACUGUCCUUUCUGACAUAAGCAACUGGUGGUUUCGGUAGAGUCCAUGUAACUAUAAGGAUGACAACUAGAACAAAACAAAAACUAUAAUUUAAACCUCUACCAGUUGUGUUGACCUUAGUAGAUUUGUCUGGUGAUACACAAAUCGAUUAGUCUUGUCACAUUCUCAAAGAGAGAGAGGGUAUCGGAAAAAAUUGGGAGGAUUAAAACAAUUAUUUUGUAAAGAUUUUUUUAUUUUUUGAUGGUGCUUACGAAAGUUCAUCUUGAAAGUGAGCAUUUUCAACGAAAUUUCCUGAAAGAUACUUCUUUUUGAGGUGCUUCAAGUAAAUAUUUUAUUUUAAGCAUCAAUCAAUGCUUAAAAAACCACAAAUUCUACUAGUUGACUGGCAUGUGGACCAACUCUCUUCUAGAUUUGAUUUUAAUGAAAGACAGUGACUGUUUCUUGUUGGACUGAUUGUUUCAUCUGAUACAUCUGAGAUUUUAUUUAUUCUGCUGAAAUUCCAUAAUUCUGUGAUAUUAGAUAUUAUUGGAUACAUGCAUGUCUUUUAAUGAAACUCUAGUCUUUUCUAUGAUUUACAUGCAAAAAUUCACUUCCAUCAUAAUCGAUGAAACUACCUCAUGUUGGUGGCCAAAUUAUUCUGACUAAUUAUUUGAUGCCUUAGUGUACAAUGUGUCGUUGUCUUGUUUCUAGACUUUUUCAUUGAGAAUCAAUUUUCAUUACAGCUAAAUUUGCUUCUUCUAGAUCUCCGAGAUGAUAAGCAAUUCUUUAUAGAUUACCCUGGUGCAGUGCCCAUUACUACAGCUCAGGUAUACUGUCCUUUCCCAUAUUAAGAAUUAUUUUACAUGUUUUAUUUUAAUUUGUCACCUUGCUUGUAUUUGUGGUUCGUCAUCAUCAUCAUCUGCCAACGAGAAUAAAUUUUCUAUCUUUGUUGAAAGGGGGAGGAACUGAGAAAGCUAAUCGGGGCGCCUGUUUAUAUUGAAUGUAGUUCUAAAACUCAGCAGGUAUAUAUUCUGUUCUUUUCACACUGCAUAAAGGAAAGUGGAUGCUUAACUCAUUGCUGACAUUUUAUUUCAACCAUCCUUUGCAAAUUACAGAAUGUGAAAGCUGUCUUUGAUGCAGCCAUUAAAGUAGUUCUCCAGCCACCAAAACAGAAGAAGAAAAAGAGAAGAAAGGCUCAAAAGGCCUGCUCCAUAUUGUGAUUGAGAAAAGCUGUGGCGGAAAACAUAACCAAUUAGGCAUUGAUCCCAUUAGUUUUUCACCAUCACCAUCUCUCUUACGUUUUCUCACCUUGUGGAAGCAACAGGAUUUCGUCUUUGCAUCUACUAACAGAACUAGGAAGCGCAUUAUAAUCAUCAAGUUGGGAAUUUGUCACUAUUUGGGUUGCAUUUGGAUAUGUAUAUGAAUGAUUGGGUUUGUUGACAUGAACACCCCUAUUUCUUUAGGUCAUUCUGCAUGUAUUGACUAAAUUCAGGAUGAGUUCUCUGAAAUAUUAAUCUGUUUCCUCUUGUAUUAUGUAUGAUAUGUAACUUAGUGCGCCUGAAAAAUCUUAAUAUAAUUAUGGUUUUUUGUUAGAUUAUAUGAAGUUUGUUCAUAUGAAUUCAGCUGAUUUUGAUCGGUG
rnacentral:misc_RNA from 1 species